rnacentral:lncRNA from 1 species
UGAAUUUUUUUUUAAGGAUUGAAUUGAAUUAGCUAACAUAUGCAAAAGAUACCUGGCUGUGUGCCUGAUGUGUGGUGGCCAGCAAUAAUUAGUUGGAUCUAAAUUUUGGCUCAGAACCUGCCUGCUUCUUUUCCUAUUAAAAUGUUGUCCCUGAAAAAUGUAUGCAUGCCCUUGCUUCUAUCCCAGUCCACAGAGUUCACUGAAGUGUAACUUCCUAAACUGCUGAGAACAUGACAGCUGUGACUCAAAGCCUGCCAAGACACAGAGCCAGCCUAUAUGUCCCGCAGCAGAUGAAGAGAUAAAGAAAUCUGAUGAAUGAAACCACGACAUUUUUCAGAAAUAUUGAUGGAGCAGCAGGUCAUCAUGGCUUUCCCUGGGAACUUGGUCCGUUUGUCUCAGCCACAGGCUUGAAGCCCUCCCAGUCACUGAUUCCUCACACAGUCCAUUCAACUCCUUCAGUUGCUCAUGGAGGCCCUCUGUGCCCUCUACACUUGAGCUAUUUUAAUUUGACAUAAUUUAUAUAUUCCGGCACUACAAUUAAAUAGUAUGUCUUUAAAUAAGCCAAGAGUCUAUUGUCUUUUGGGCCCAAGGAAUUUUCCAACCAUGAUUUGAUCAAAGCAAGCAAACAAAUAAAGCAGAAACACUUUCAUAAGGAAAUAAACAUGUUCAGAAAUGUAAUUCUGUCUGCCAGUAAAUACCACAAUUAGAAGAUAUCUUCCUUUUUUAUUAUUUUUUGUUGUUUUUGUAAUUACAAAAUAAAAUAUGAAUACAUAUUCUUAAGUUAAACAAAAAAUAAAUCCAAGAUUACAGAUGUAAUUGGAGGCUUCUCUAUUAACAAAUAUUGAGUUUACAAUUUCUCAGAGAUAUAAUGAAAGCUACUCUUCAAAUUAAAAUUACAUCAGGUCUGCUGCUGACACAUAAAGUGGCCACGUUUGCUUGGGGCUUUGUGCCUUUGCUCCUGUUUCUCAGAUUUUAAGGCAAAAGCCCUGCUCUUAACUCCAAAAGGCCAGGUCCAUCUGGCCACUGUCCCAAAUAAUGGGAGAAACAGAGAGGGGAGGGAACCUAUUCAGUUUGGUCACAUGGGGAAGAGAGACAGUGGAAGGGUCCAUGUCUGUCUUUGGGAUACAGACAUGAAUAUUAGGUUUAAACAGUGGGCAGGAGGUAUGCACAAGUAAGCAGUCCUGGUCAGGAUGCUGUCUCUCCUCCCUAUGUCCAGCAUCAUUUCCUCAGCUCUGGUCCUACAAGCCUGCCUGUUAGGAUGUUGGUCUGUUAAGUUCCUAUGUGCUGAAGGUACAUCUUUACCCUCAGCGCUGACAGUCACCUCUGAUUCUGGAAUCUGUCCUGGUAGGUUUUGUUUCUCCUACAACUGGGGGUGCCUCAAAAAAUGUUAAGGACAAGAAUCUAUCGAUCUCUGUGCCUGGAGCUGAAGUCCAGACAUGAAAUUAAAGCACAGGCACCCGACGUCACCCCACUUUUACCUCCCUCAUGGGCCUGUGUGAGGAGGCAAUGCUUUGUGUAGAUGCAACAUCCAAUGCCUGUUUCUUUCCGUCUGGGGUAGAUCCACAACACUUAUGAAGAUGGUUUAGACACAUCGUAUAGGAUGUAAAUAAAAACCUGUAGGAAUACUAGAAACAUCAUUUAAACAGGACGCCUGACACAGGAGGGAAAAGCAUCCACAGGGAGAUUUACAGAGAUGAAAGGGGAGAAUGCAGAGGCAGGCACUGCUCCCCCAGAACUCCUGGCAGGUGCAAGAGGUUUGAAGAAUGGAUCAUGCGUGAGAAGAUGGUAGCGGUGCUGUGGAAUAAGCCAUAAUCAUCACAAAACUGGGAGACAUGGUUUGACUAAGGGAGAAGGAGGGAAACACAGAGCAAGCGGCAACAGAUUUAAUAUGAAAGUCGGAUCCCUAUCACUGGGGACAACUGACAGUGCUAAGAUGGACAGAUGGAUGAUGGAUGGAUAGACAGAGCUGUACACUGCCUGGACUCCAGGUCUCCGGGAUCUAUCCCACCAGGGGUCCAGACACUUCUGAAACUCCACACACCCUCAAUGCAGACAGAAAACCAGCAAAGGGUGGCCACAAACUGCUAUGGAAUGACAUCUAACACUAGGACAGGUCUUUCAGCUGUAGAGCACCACCACCACCAAACAGGUCUAAAGAAGACAGAAUCCAUCCUUUGGAGAAAGUAAAUCUGCUUGAAACUAUAGGCCCAAGGAGAAGAAUAUGCCAGCUUCUCAGACCUCAGAGAAAGGGAUCCACAAUUUAAUUCUGUUGAGCAGAAAUGCAGGGGUGGCCAUGAGUUUAAAUCGAUCCCAACUACUUGGAACCUAAAAACAUAAGGUCUUCCAAGCAUCUUAUCAGAAUCUAAUAUGUUCCGGCGGGUAAACAUCUCUUCCCCAGAAGCUCUUACUUGCAGUUUGGUCCCCUCCCUCUUUUUUUCUACCAUAAAUACAGUUGGAUUGUGCAAUCCACAGCCAAAGCGAGCAGUGUCUUGUCUUGCAGAAAUCCUUUAUCAUCUGUUUUGUGUACGCGCCGAGCAGUGAUCAGGUGAUCCCAGAAGUUCACAGCUAAGAAGAAACAAGCAUAAAAAAAAGGCAUAGUACAGCAUGAAUUCUUUUGCGUUGGUGUUGAUCUGGCUGUCUCAAUCUCAGGCCUCCUUGCAUCUUCCUCACCCCUGGUGGACUCGAUGGGGUGGAUUCUAGCUGCUUAGUCUAUCUUAAGGCCCUUAGGGGAAUAGGUACCCAUCUCUUUGGCUGUGCCUCCACCUACCUCCUUGAGUGGCUGAACAAUCUCUCUGAACCCAGGAAAGAAAUGUUCACAGUGUACUCAGAUGAGACAGCUGCACAUUCCAUAAUCAAGCUUAGCCCCUUCACCUGUUUGGUUUUCCUCUCUGCUUAUGAGCUGCUGCUUAUCAACUCUGGUACCCAAGAGGGUCUCAUCUGACUCAGCGAACUGGGUACUCUAUAUCACUUAAAAAACAAAACAAAACAAAACAAAACAACAAAAACAUUCUCUUGAACUUUUUUUUAUGGCUUCCAAGUUUUUGAGCCCUGGAAAGUCUCUUUAGUACAGAUCUUUUUCUCAUAUCC